GAUGAACGCUGGCGGCGUGCCUAAUACAUGCAAGUCGAGCGAACAGAUGAGGAGCUUGCUCCUCUGACGUUAGCGGCGGACGGGUGAGUAACACGUGGAUAACCUACCUAUAAGACUGGGAUAACUUCGGGAAACCGGAGCUAAUACCGGAUAAUAUAUUGAACCGCAUGGUUCAAUAGUGAAAGACGGUUUUGCUGUCACUUAUAGAUGGAUCCGCGCCGCAUUAGCUAGUUGGUAAGGUAACGGCUUACCAAGGCAACGAUGCGUAGCCGACCUGAGAGGGUGAUAGGCCACACUGGAACUGAGCCACGGUCCAGACUCCUACGGGAGGCAGCAGUAGGGAAUCUUCCGCAAUGGGCGAAAGCCUGACGGAGCAACGCCGCGUGAGUGAUGAAGGUCUUCGGAUCGUAAAACUCUGUUAUUAGGGAAGAACAAAUGUGUAAGUAACUAUGCACGUCUUGACGGUACCUAAUCAGAAAGCCACGGCUAACUACGUG
rnacentral:rRNA from 1 species